rnacentral:rRNA from 1 species
AGGGUGACAGGUGGUGCAUGGUUGUCGUCAGCUCGUGUCGUGAGAUGUUGGGUUAAGUCCCGCAACGAGCGCAACCCUCGACCUUAGUUGCUAGCAUUCAGUUGGGCACUCUAAGGUGACUGCCGGCUAAAAGUCGGAGGAAGGUGGGGAUGACGUCAAGUCCUCAUGGCCCUUAUGGGUAGGGCUUCACACGUCAUACAAUGGUCGGUACAGAGGGUUGCCAAGCCGCGAGGUGGAGCCAAUCCCUUAAAGCCGAUCGUAGUCCGGAUCGUAGUCUGCAACUCGACUACGUGAAGUCGGAAUCGCUAGUAAUCGCAGAUCAGCAUGCUGCGGUGAAUACGUUCCCGGGUCUU